CUCACUCCCUGCCUGUCUCCCUCACUGAGUGCUGGAUAACGGCUGAGCAUCCGGGGGUCGGAGUGCCUGCCGUGGACACUGCAUGUUGUCUCUCGGGCACGUUGGAACAGCCGUAAGGGAGAGGUCAGGCUCUCUGUGUCAGGGUGCAGGGCCUUUGGGGGCGCUGCCUCAUCUCCUUGUUGCCUGAAGGUUCCUGCGUCGACAGUGGGAGUGCUGAGGAGCUGCUCAGAGGGAAACACAAACCCAACCUUUGUUAGUCACGAAGCAACGCUGUAAGGAAUCCUGCUCUUUAACAAUGGAGGAGAACAUUACAAGAGCUAGGGCGCUUUUUCAGAGGUUUCAGUUGAAACACAUACAUCCAUGAGCAUGCCUGUUGCUAAUCGCUAGGGAAAUGAGACCGACUCUAGAGGACGAGGCAUCUGUCUUCCCUGGCUACUGUUGGGGAGUGAGGAGCAGACGCUCGGGGCACUGAGCCAUGUUUCAGGACAGGAGAUGUGUGGGAUGCGGGGCUCUCCUCUUACAGAAUUUCACAGCUGAAGAAAUCUGUAGACAGACUUUUACUUGUUCAACUGUUUUUUUCUUUUUCAUUUUGGAGGGACAGGAAUGGGGGCUGGAGUUAAAAGAAGGUCUUGCGCCUGGUCCUUUAACACAUGCUAACGCCACAAGGGCGAAGAAGGUGAGGCAAGGGCGUCGGCGAGUGAAACAGACCAGUGGGAGACUACGGGAGAGAGUGGAGCGCAGGGCAAACCAGAGAGGACCUGACCUCCUCAGAGGGGGUUCCGUUACCAGGCUGCAUGGACGAUGCCACGGGAACUGCUUUCCAACAGAAGUGGAGAUCCCAGGUUGGAGAAUGGAACCUCCCGAGUUUUAAAAAUCGCUGGUGAAUUCAAAAGUUUAAGACAUACCCUACAAGCCAAGCAAAGCCUUCCUGAGGCCCUCAGUUGGCUCAGAGCCUGCCUGUUUGUGACCUGGGUUGCAGAAUCUUCCAGCACUCCGCACAUUUCCUGACAGCAGAGCUCCCGUCUCGCUUCCUGUCAAGUGUUGUUUUCUUCCAAGGGUGCCCUGUUCACUUAGCCACUGGAACCAUCUCCACCUCUGAACUUGGAACAAGACACGGCCUGCAAAGCUGGUUUUUCAUUUUUCACGCACUGUUGAUUCUGCGUCUUGAUUCCGUCCUUGCAUCUUGAAGGCAACAACCAGAAAAACAGCCGUGUGACACCCAGCUGGGCUCUAAGUCUUUCUCCUGGAUUUCCGAGCAGACUGGGAGAGUGAGUCAGAGGUCACUUGCCUGUGAACCAUGGAAAAAAUUGGCAAAUUGAAUGGAUGUUUGUCCAAAGUCAGACUCAGCACCUUUAUCCAGAAACUCUAAGAAAAAAAAAAAAAAAAGAUGAAGUUUGUCUCAGGAAUUUCAUGAAGACCGCAAUGGCAGCAUACUCUCUGGGUCUAUGGUUCUGAUCUAGUCAACAGUGUCUUCAGAAGGCAGUUCUGAGCUCGUCUUGUGGCCUUAUGAUUCUAGUUGCUCGUUUUAGUUAAUCAUCUGCUUCUGUUAUUUAACACAAACCAGAAUCCACUUUGGGAGAAGGCAAUGGCACCCCACUCCAGCACUCUUGCCUGGAAAAUCGCAUGGAUGGAGGAGCCUGGUGGGCUGCAGUCCAUGGGGUCAUGAAGAGUCGGACACGACUGAGCGGCUUAGCAGCAGCAGCAGCAGGAGCAGCAGAAUCCAUUUUGCUGAUGAACCAGAACCAUCAGCGCUGCCAUUCUUGCUCACUUCCGUGUUUCCUGCCUUAUUUUCUUUUAUUCAUUUUCAACGAGAAGGUAACUCAUAUGCGGGUUUUUUCAACUGCCGAAAGGUACCUGACAUUAAAAAUCUCAGAACGUUUCAGAGAACAAUGACGACAGAUAAUUUCCUACCAUUCAGGUGUUAAAAAAAGAACUAAUCAAUCCAAGCUUGCAAGGUGGGAUGAGCUUGUCUCUGUAGAGAAUGAUGCUGUGGGGAGCAGAGAACUUCCAGAAGGGAAUAAGGAGCAACUCUUGCAAUGUGAGAAUAGAACGGCUUUAUCCUUAACAGACAUACAAUAUAAUUGGAUGUAAUAGGUAUUUGUUGGAUAAACAGUGCCUGACACUGUUCUGACGGUUGAUUUGGGACUUAACUAGGCUCUUUUCUCAAGGGGGCUUCCCAAGUGGUGCUAGUAGUAAAGAACCCCCCCUGCCAAUGCAGGAGGCAAAAGAGAAGUGGCUUCCAUCCCUGGAUCUGGAAGAUUCCCUGGAGGAGGGCAUGGCAACCCACUCCAGCAUUCUUGUCUGGAGAAGCCCAUGGACAGAGGAGCCUGGAGGGCUACAGUCCAUGGGGUUACAAGAGAGUCAGGCAAGACUGCAGUGACUUGACAUGCACAGACUUCUUUUUGGAGUUUCCUUUUUAAUAGGAGACUACCCUCAUUUUCUUGCCGUGUGGACACCCCAACACAGACACUCAUAAAACCAACAGAAGAGAGUUUGCUGGUAGGACCAACGUGACAAUCCUUUCUGACAAAAUCAGGGGGUGACACCCCAGCACCCUUGACACAGCCCGUCAGAAGCCAGUCUUGCCCGUCCUUCCAGGGGGUUAUUUACAGAUGUGACUCACAGGAGGUGGGAAGCACAGAGGCCACCUCCGUGUCUCAGCUCCACAGCUGCCAGGGUCCAGCCCCGGUGGAUCCAGGGUGAUUCGAAGGUGGGGGGACGGAGUCGGCGUCUUUGGAAAAAUACAUAUUUAAUCACAGAUAGAGAGAGAUUAGAAACAGAUAGUGUAGUAGAAAGAUUAGUGGAGAAAAAGAGGCUGAAUAACUUGGAUUACGUGGAAUAGUAUCCAUGCUCCAGAUGGGAAUUCAGCCAGAAAAACGGGAGCAAGAAAGAAGCGACAUGGGGGAAUCAGUCUUUCCGGAAACUGAUCCCAUUUCUUUAUUUUUGGGUUUGCUUAUAUACCUUUUGUUACACAUAGGGAUGAAUACAGAGUCACGCGGGGUCAGCAGUCCUGACCUUUAUCAAAAUCAGGUGCUUCACAUAAAUGUAUAAAAAAAAAGGUCUUAGGAAUAUUACAUCAUCUUCUGGCCAUGAGUGAGACCUGCUGACAUUUUAUGAUCCUUUCUUUCUGAUAACCAAAAACUUAUUUUUCCAAGGGUGUUUUUUCUUAAACCAGGCACCACCCUCCAAAUAAAGUUACAUUCCUAUAGGGUGAGGGUGUAGUGAGUUACAAUCAAGAAAGGAAUUUAUUUAACCCAAGGUUAACAUGAUUAGUCUUAAAGGUUAAUACUUAUUUCUCCUAUAUGCUUAAAGGUUAAUACUUAUUUCUUCCUAUAUGCUAGUUAUAUUCAUUAUAAGAGUAGGGAACAUGGAGAUUUAGCAGCAAACA
ensembl:lncRNA